GGAAGAACAGUCCACAGUCUCCAGGCUACACCGUGAGCUACAGGAAGCAGAAUAUCAUAGGUAUCUCCUGGGCUCCAGAGUAGCUGAGCUGAACUGUGACAUCCAGCAGAAAGACUGCAGGCGGCUCGCAGAGCAGGACGAGGUGUCCAGUAGAGAUGAGACAGUUCUGAGACUGACGGCAGACCUGCGGGCCGCUCAGGAAAAUCUGACCGCUGCACAAGAGGAGCUGGCAGAGCAGAUGCAGCAGGUCAUGUCUAGGGAAGAGGAGGUUGUGGCCCUGCAGAAGGAGGUGAGCAGACUUCAGGAGAUCCUGAAACAGAGAGAAGAAAUGAUGGAGAAGAACAAACACAACACAACACAGCUCCAGCGAGAGACAGACUUCCUUUACAGACAGUGUGAAGUCCAAAAGGAGGAGCUGUGUGAUCUGUGUGAGGAGGUGCAGCGAUGGCAACAGGAGGCGGAGGAACAGAAGGAGAGCCGGGUGAAGGGGGUGCAGGCCCUUAAGGAAGAGCUGCAGAGCACACGAAGUCAUCUGCAGCAGCACAAAGAUAACCUGGAGAGUCUGUGCCGAGAGCUGGAGACGGCCCACAGACAGCAGAGAGGCACGGAGGACGAGGUGAGACAGCGCAGCAGACUUCACUUUCACUAUAUCACAACUUCUGC
rnacentral:lncRNA from 1 species